rnacentral:rRNA from 1 species
GCGAUGGAGGGACGGAGAAGGCUAGGCCAGCUUGGCGUUGGUUGUCCAAGUUUAAGGUGGUAGGCUGAAACCUUAGGUAAAUCCGGGGUUUCAAGGCCGAGAGCUGAUGACGAGUCGUCUUUUAGAUGACGAAGUGGUUGAUGCCAUGCUUCCAAGAAAAGCUUCUAAGCUUCAGGUAACCAGGAACCGUACCCCAAACCGACACAGGUGGUCGGGUAGAGAAUACCAAGGCGCUUGAGAGAACUCGGGUGAAGGAACUAGGCAAAAUGGCACCGUAACUUCGGGAGAAGGUGCGCCGGCUAGGGUGAAGGAUUUACUCCGUAAGCUCUGGCUGGUCGAAGAUACCAGGCCGCUGCGACUGUUUAUUAAAAACACAGCACUCUGCAAACACGAAAGUGGACCUAUAGGGUGUGACGCCUGCCCGGUGCCGGAAGGUUAAUUGAUGGGGUUAGCGCAAGCGAAGCUCUUGAUCGAAGCCCCGGUAAACGGCGGCCGUAACGAUAACGGUCCUAAGGUAGCGAAAUUCCUUGUCGGGUAAGUUCCGACCUGCACGAAUGGCGUAACGAUGGCGGCGCUGUCUCCACCCGAGACUCAGUGAAAUUGAAAUCGCUGUGAAGAUGCAGUGUAUCCGCGGCUAGACGGAAAGACCCCGUGAACCUUUACUGUAGCUUUGCACUGGACUUUGAGCCUGCUUGUGUAGGAUAGGUGGGAGGCUUUGAAGCGUGGACGCCAGUUCGCGUGGAGCCAUCCUUGAAAUACCACCCUGGCAUGCUUGAGGUUCUAACUCUGGUCCGUAAUCCGGAUCGAGGACAGUGUAUGGUGGGCAGUUUGACUGGGGCGGUCUCCUCCUAAAGAGUAACGGAGGAGUACGAAGGUGCGCUCAGACCGGUCGGAAAUCGGUCGCAGAGUAUAAAGGCAAAAGCGCGCUUGACUGCGAGACAGACGCGUCGAGCAGGUACGAAAGUAGGUCUUAGUGAUCCGGUGGUUCUGUAUGGAAGGGCCAUCGCUCAACGGAUAAAAGGUACUCCGGGGAUAACAGGCUGAUACCGCCCAAGAGUUCAUAUCGACGGCGGUGUUUGGCACCUCGAUGUCGGCUCAUCACAUCCUGGGGCUGAAGCCGGUCCCAAGGGUAUGGCUGUUCGCCAUUUAAAGUGGUACGCGAGCUGGGUUUAGAACGUCGUGAGACAGUUCGGUCCCUAUCUGCCGUGGACGUUUGAGAUUUGAGAGGGGCUGCUCCUAGUACGAGAGGACCGGAGUGGACGAACCUCUGGUGUUCCGGUUGUCACGCCAGUGGCAUUGCCGGGUAGCUAUGUUCGGAAAAGAUAACCGCUGAAAGCAUCUAAGCGGGAAACUUGCCUCAAGAUGAGAUCUCACUGGGAACUUGAUUCCCCUGAAGGGCCGUCGAAGACUACGACGUUGAUAGGCUGGGUGUGUAAGCGUUGUGAGGCGUUGAGCUAACCAGUACUAAUUGCCCGUGAGGCUUGAUC